GACGAACGCUGGCGGCGUGCCUAAUACAUGCAAGUUGAGCGCUGAAGGUUGGUACUUGUACCAACUGGAUGAGCAGCGAACGGGUGAGUAACGCGUGGGGAAUCUGCCUUUGAGCGGGGGACAACAUUUGGAAACGAAUGCUAAUACCGCAUAAAAACUUUAAACACAAGUUUUAAGUUUGAAAGAUGCAAUUGCAUCACUCAAAGAUGAUCCCGCGUUGUAUUAGCUAGUUGGUGAGGUAAAGGCUCACCAAGGCGAUGAUACAUAGCCGACCUGAGAGGGGGAUCGGCCACAUUGGGACUGAGACACGGCCCAAACUCCUACGGGAGGCAGCAGUAGGGAAUCUUCGGCAAUGGACGAAAGUCUGACCGAGCAACGCCGCGUGAGUGAAGAAGGUUUUCGGAUCGUAAAACUCUGUUGGUAGAGAAGAACGUUGGUGAGAGUGGAAAGCUCAUCAAGUGACGGUAACUACCCAGAAAGGGACGGCUAACUACGUG
rnacentral:rRNA from 1 species